GCAAGUAUUGGUAACUAUAAACCACCACAUUUGCAAACUGCACCAUAUGCCGUGCUAAGAAGUAUGGACACCACCCUUUCUCCCUCCCAUAUGCUCUCAGAUCCUGAAGCGUGUAAACUCCAGGUGGCAAUACUGCUGCGGACGCCGCCCUCUCAUAGUUCUCAAAAAACUCACAAGUCGGUACAUUGGGAUUCUCUGCGGCCAAAGCCCUAACCCAACUAGCCGUCAGCUUCCUACAAGCGGCAUCCACCGAAUCCCGAUUCUCUGCGGUCAAUACCGUCGGAUUCACGCAGAGAUUCUUCCUCGACGACAAUCCGAUAGCCAAAAUCCCCGCAGCAGGUCCCAAAUGCUUGAUUUGGUAAUUGUGCAACAGUUUGAGCUCGGCGAGGGUUUUCUCCAUCUCGUGCACGGUGCGCGUACAGUAGAUUAGCUUCACUUGGCUCUGGGGCUUGGAAAGAGAGUAGCUGGUGAUCAAAGAUAGAAGCGCUAUGGUCUUUCCAGUUCCCGUAGGCAUUUCCAGGAGGCAGUGGCCCUUGGCGUCCAGGGCACGCUUUAGCUCGACCAUAUAAGAGUAUUGCUCCGGAUAAAUAUUAUCGUACGGGAAGUAGACAGUCACGUCCUCGAUUUGGAACUUCAUGGUGGUGAUCCGGCGUUUGUCGAUAUCGGAAUAUACGUAUACAAUAAUUGUAUAUUAAUUUACAGAGGACGAGAAGGCGAUGGAGAAGGACGAGGCGGAGAAGCGGAGUGGCGAACGCUUUGGGUUAUAAGGAGGAGGAGUAGACAGUCACGUCCUCGAUUUGGAAC
rnacentral:misc_RNA from 1 species